rnacentral:piRNA from 1 species
UCUGCACUCUAUUGUAGCCUUUGUGGUCCC